rnacentral:rRNA from 1 species
CCCUUAGAUGUCCUGGGCCGCACGCGCGCUACACUGAGUGUCUGAGAUACGAGUCUGCCUGGUCCGGCAAGGUCUAGGUAAUCGCUAAAAGACACGUCAUGCUUGGGAUAGAUUAUUGCAAAUAUUAAUCUUGAACGAGGAAUUCCUAGUAAGCGCAAGUCAACAGCUUGCGUUGAUUACGUCCCUGCCCUUUGUACACACCGCCCGUCGCUACUACUGAUUGGAUGUUUAAGCGAGGUUCUCGAACUGCUAGCGACUUAGCUUCGGUGAGGUCGCAGUGUGGGAAGUGAACCGAGCUUUGGUGUCUAGAGGAAGUAAAAGUCGUAACA